rnacentral:rRNA from 1 species
UACGGCUCAGUAACACGUGGCUAACCUGCCCUUGGGACAAGAAUACCCCCGGGAAACUGGGGCUAAUUCUUGAUAGGUGAAGAACCCUGGAAUGAGUCUUCGCCCAAAAGACGUUGGGGUUAUGCUCUCCAGCGCCGCCCAAGGAUGGGGCCGCGACCGAUCAGGUUGUUGGUGAGGUAAUGGCUCACCAAGCCUUUUACCGGUGCGGGCCGUGGGAGCGGGAGCCCGGAGAUGGGCACUGAGACAAGGGCCCAGGCCCUACGGGGCGCAGCAGUCGCGAAAACUUUGCAAUAAGCGAAAGCUUGACAGGGCUAUCCCGAGUGCCAUCCGCUGAGGAAGGCUUUUACCCAGUCUAGAACGCUGGGGGAAUAAGGAGAGGGCAAGUCUGGUGUCAGCCGCCGCGGUAAUACCAGCUCUCCGAGUGGUGUGGAUGUUUAUUGGGCCUAAAGCAUCCGUAGCUGGCUAGGUUAGUCCCCUGUUAAAUCCACCGAAUUAAUCGUUGGAUUGCGGGGGAUACUGCUUGGCUAGGGGACGAGAGAGGCAGACGGUAUUUCCGGGGUAGGGGUGAAAUCCUAUAAUCCCGGGAAGACCACCAGUGGCGAAGGCUGUCUGCUAGAACGCGCCCGACGGUGAGGGAUGAAAGCUGGGGGAGCGAACCGGAUUAGAUACCCGGGUAGUCCCAGCUGUAAACGAUGCAGACUAGGUGUUUGGACGGCCACGUGCCGUUCUAGUGCCGCAGGGAAGCUGUUAAGUCUGCCGCCUGGGGAGUACGAUCGCAAGAUUGAAAC